GGGGGAUGCGCUGAAUCGCCGCUUGACGGGCGAAACGCUAGGCUUGCGGCUCUGGGGUGGAGGUCAAGGACGCAUUCCAAUAAAGUUCUAAAAAUGUAUCAGCAGGUCCAACAUGGUAGUUGACCUACCUGUGGAAAGCCUCCCUGGAUCCUCACUGGGUCAGAUCAUACUGACAUUCUUAAAAACUCUUCCCAUCAAAAACUAACAAGAAUGAAAAGAUAAGACAUAUUCCUACCACUUCAAGGAAGAUCCUAUACCAGCCAACAGUCGAGCACAUUAGCUUGCUGCUUUGAUCAUCAAACAGACAUAUUCAAGCUCAACACGGCAGAGGAAAAUGUCUCUGUAUCAAUAUCUUUCACAUUCUGUAUGUGACCCUCAGUAGGUCAUGCAAUCAGUUCUAGAGACCACAUGUAGGCAGAGAGGCAGGCAGAGAGA